rnacentral:rRNA from 1 species
UACGUAGGGGGCUGGCGUUGUCCGGAUUUAUUGGGCGUAAAGAGCGUGUAGGCGGCCAGGUAGGUCUGGUGUGAAAACUCGAGGCUUAACCUCGAGAUGUCAUCGGAAACCAUUUGGCUAGAGUCCGGAAGAGGAGAGUGGAAUUCCUGGUGUAGCGGUGAAAUGCGCAGAUAUCAGGAAGAACACCAAUGGCGAAGGCAGCUCUCUGGGACGGUACUGACGCUGAGAAGCGAAAGCAUGGGGAGCGAACAGG